GUUUUCCUCUUCGAAGCUCUCUCUCUCUCUCUCUCUCGCCUGCUUGCCGUCACCGUUGGCUCCUAUGCCUCGUCCCCGCACCGCUUGUCUUAGUUUGCCUCUACUUCCUCCAUGCGUCUUCUUCCUCUGCUCAUGAUUCCUCCUCGUUCCUCCGUCACCGUCUUCUUGCUUCUGCUUCUGCAGUGUGGCCUCAGUUUCUGUUCAUCAUCAUGAAUCUAUGAAAUACACGUUCAACUUCGUGUUUCUUUUUUUUUUUUUAAUUGACUUCAUU